rnacentral:rRNA from 1 species
AGUCGUACGAGAGUUUUUAACUCAAGUGGCGGACGGGUGAGUAACACGUAAGAAUUUGCCUUUAGGAGGGGGAUAACAGCUGGAAACGGCUGCUAAUACCCCAUAUGCUUUCGAGUGAAACGGAUUUUUCCGCCUAGAGAGAAGCUUGCGGCUGAUUAGCUUGUUGGUGAGGUAAUGGCUCACCAAGGCGACGAUCAGUAUCUGGUUUGAGAGGACGAUCAGACACACUGGAACUGAGACACGGUCCAGACUCCUACGGGAGGCAGCAGUGGGGAAUUUUCCGCAAUGGGCGAAAGCCUGACGGAGCAAUACCGCGUGAGGGAUGACUGCCUAUGGGUUGUAAACCUCUUUUUUCAGGGAGGAAUCAAUGACGUUACCUGAAGAAUAAGCAUCGGCUAACUCCGUGCCAGCAGCCGCGGUAAGACGGAGGAUGCAAGUGUUAUCCGGAAUCACUGGGCGUAAAGCGUCUGUAGGUGGUUUGGUAAGUCAACUGUUAAAUCUUGAGGCUCAACCUCAAAAUCGCAGUCGAAACUACCAGACUUGAGUAUAGUAGGGGUAAAGGGAAUUUCCAGUGGAGCGGUGAAAUGCGUAGAGAUUGGAAAGAACACCGAUGGCGAAGGCACUUUACUGGGCUAUUACUAACACUCAGAGACGAAAGCUAGGGUAGCAAAUGGGAUUAGA